rnacentral:rRNA from 1 species
UACAGAGGUCUCAAGCGUUUGUUCGGAUUCAUUGGGCGUAAAGGGUGCGUAGGUGGCGUCGUAAGUCGGGUGUGAAAUUUCGGAGCUUAACUCCGAAACUGCAUUCGAUACUGCGGUGCUUGAGGACUGGAGAGGAGACUGGAAUUUACGGUGUAGCGGUGAAAUGCGUAGAUAUCGUAAGGAAGACCAGUGGCGAAGGCGGGUCUCUGGACAGUUCCUGACGCUGAGGCACGAAGGCCAGGGGGAGCAAAACGGGG